GACGAACGCUGGCGGCGUGCUUAACACAUGCAAGUCGAACGGAAAGGCCCUGCUUGCAGGGUACUCGAGUGGCGAACGGGUGAGUAACACGUGGGUGAUCUGCCCUGCACUUCGGGAUAAGCCUGGGAAACUGGGUCUAAUACCGGAUAGGAGCCAUUUUUAGUGUGAUGGUUGGAAAGUUUUUUCGGUGUAGGAUGAGCUCGCGGCCUAUCAGCUUGUUGGUGGGGUAAUGGCCUACCAAGGCGGCGACGGGUAGCCGGCCUGAGAGGGUGGACGGCCACAUUGGGACUGAGAGACGGCCCAGACUCCUACGGGAGGCAGCAGGGGGGAAUAUUGCACAAUGGGCGCAAGCCGGAUGCAGCGACGCCGCGGGGGGGAGGACGGCCUUCGGGUUGUAAACGCCUUUCGCUAGGGACGAAGCUUUUUGUGACGGUACCUAGAUAAGAAGCACCGGCUAACUACGUG
rnacentral:rRNA from 1 species